rnacentral:lncRNA from 1 species
UUUAUUUAAGAUCCAAAUAGAUUGUUGCAUACUUCGCCAGGCAUAACUAGGAUUUACUCCAAUGGGUGCCUGAAGAACAUUUGUAGUAGGAUAAUAUUUUGCUUUGAAGCAUUUGGCUAUAAGAGAAUUAGGAUUAUUGUGAAGCCUCCAAAUUUGUUUAGCCAGCAUGGCUAAAUUGAAGUCUCUAAGACUUCUGAAGCCUAGCCCACCUUCAGUUGUAGAUUUAAAGAGUUUCUCCUUUCUGACCCAAUGUAUAGAUCUGUUCUCCCCUUUACUACCCCACC